rnacentral:lncRNA from 1 species
UAAAUGGCAUAUAAAAUACAGUUCAAAACAGAUGCUAUACAUGCAAUUACAUAUUCUCGGAAAAAAAAUGUAAUUACAUAUAUUUAUCACCGCUGCAUUGAUUUCCUUGAGAAAUUUAGUAAUCCUUAUAAUUAUGCUGAUUUGAAGCAUCAUGUUCCAUCUUUCAUCUUGCAUCUCCACUAAAUUAUGUCUCGCACCUGUUCACCACAUUCAGUUUGACGCUAUCCACAAUGGGGAGCAGACUUGUGACUGAAAACACAAAUUUUAUGUUCUUUCCCGUCCUGCAAGAACUUAUGCAAUUUUGAACUUUGGCACAAACACCACAAUGCAGAACCGUGUAUGAUGUGGGUUGUAACAAGCAAAAAAGUUGGGAGUUUCAUGGAUGAGGAGGACGUCGGCUACUGUUGUCGUUGUGCGCUGCUGAAUUCGGAUGGAGGGGGUACGAGAGGUGCUGCUGAGGGCUUACCUGGAGAGAAGGAGAAAACAUAGCAGUGUCCGGAUCACAGGCGCCUUGCAGCUCCUUAGCGCAUGUAGGGGCAGCCUCGAUUCCGCCUCUGCUCCAGACCCUUCCUCAAUCCACCACCUACCUACUCCAGCUCCUUUUCAAUACGCCUUGAACCUCUUGGAUUUCUCACAUGGAUGGCUUGUAAGGCAUAUCCUGAAA